CUUGGGAAAAAUAUAGCAAUUUAGAUUUAAGCUGUUAGUGGCCAUCCGCUGCUCCACCAGGAUUACUUUGUGCACUUCUGUGACCGGUUUCAAAGUAUAUGGCAUUCGCAGCAAACAGCUAUGGAGACUUCCAAAAACAAAGUACUAGUGAGUACUCGAGUGUUUCC